GUCCAACCUGGGUUGGGUUUUAUGGCUCCAAACUAUGGGUGUGUCACCAUGCAGGAAGUAGUGGGAAAACCGAGGGAGGGGCAGAGGAAAAAAGGAGGGUGGAGAACUGUGUUUAGUGAGUGCCUACUGGAUGCUGGGAGUUGCAUACAGGCGUUACCAUAUUUAAAUUAAACCUUGAGAUGAAGGGACUGAAGGACAGAGAGAAAUUGCAUGCCUGGAGUCUCACUGCUAGUACAUAGAGGUGUUAUCUUCCUUUCAUCUAACAUAUUUAUUGAGCACCUACUAUGUACCAGGCCUUGUGCUAGACUCUGGGGAUAUGGAAAUGAGCAAAGUAGAUGUACCCCCGAAACUUGUGGACUAAUGGAGGAGACGGACCUUAAUCAGAUCGUCAUUCAAAGAUACUAUUACAAACUGUUCUGAGAGCCGAGGAAGCAGGAAGGAGCUGUGAGAGACUGAGCUCUAACCUUGGCCAUCAAAGACAAGCUGUGCAGCUCUGGUUUUUUGAGGGCAGGACAUGGAGGGUCAGGCCCAGCUGGAGGCGCACCAAAGCCCAGAGAAAAUUCAGAACCACGUGAACUUGUUGGAUUUCAGCCCCUUGAAGCACAUGUUGCUAUUGCAGCUGCCUUGAUAACUGGGGGGACAGGAGGAGCACGGCUUUCCCAUCUUGUACGGGGACUCGCCAAUCCAGUUGCCCCUGGAAGAGAAAAGGACCCAGGGAGACAGAGGAGCAUUAGGCUACUAAUGACUUCAAGAACAUCAGAAUAAUACAAUAGAAAGAAUUUGGAAUUUGGAAUCAAAAGACUGAUUCUUCUGAACCAGCUCUACUACUUGUUGGCUUUGUGACAUUUGGUAAAUUACUCAACCUGCCUGAGCCUCAAUUUCUUAAUUUGUAAAAAGAAUGUCCUCCUAGGGUUCCCCCCUUUUUCCUUCUUUCUUUCAUCUCUUCAAUGAGAUAGUGUGAAAGUAGUUUGUAAAUGAUUAAAGGCUAUGUGACAGUAAAAUGUGGUUAUUAUAUAAUUUUGGAAUUCUAGGGCAGGCACGGUGGGUGGCUCACACCUAUAAUCCCAGCACUUUGGGAGUCCAAGUAGGGAGAUUGCUUGAGGC
rnacentral:lncRNA from 1 species